rnacentral:RNase_P_RNA from 1 species
AUGUUCGGGUAAUCGCUGUAUGAUUGAAUCAUGCAGAGGAAAGUCCAUGCUCACACAGACUGCGAUGUCUGUAGUGUUCGUGCCUGACGAAUUCAUAAGUCAGGGUAGCCUUUAUGGCUAACGGCAGGGAAAAUCACCUACGUCCAUUCUGGAUAUGGGAUGAGUACCUUGAAAGUGCCACAGAGACGUAUUUCAGCUAGAAAUAGUUGAACUGGAACGGGUAAACCCCACGAGUGAGCAACCCAAAUAAUGGUAGGGGCACUCUCCUAGCGGGAAAUGAACCAAGGGAGGGACAAGCGGAUAACGCUUGUAGAUAGAUGAUUACCACCUGAGUACGAGGCCUGACCGCCGUUUGUAGUACGAUGGUACAAAACAUGGCUUACAGAA